rnacentral:snRNA from 1 species
AUCGCUUCUCGGCCUUUUGGCUAAGAUCAAGUGUAGUAAAAAUGAGCCUGCUGUAUUUGGUUAAACAUUUAAUCAGCUCACCCCUA